rnacentral:rRNA from 1 species
AGAGUUUGAUCCUGGCUCAGAUUGAACGCUGGCGGCAUGCUUUACACAUGCAAGUCGAGCGGCAGCGCGGGGGCAACCCUGGCGGCGAGCGGCGAACGGGUGAGGAAUACAUCGGAACGUGCCCGAGAGUGGGGGAUAACGCCGCGAAAGCGGCGCUAAUACCGCAUAUUCUCUGAGGAGGAAAGUGGGGGACCGCAAGGCCUCACGCUCACGGAGCGGCCGAUGUCGGAUUAGCUAGUUGGUGGGGUAAAAGGCUUACCAAGGCGACGAUCCGUAGCUGGUCUGAGAGGAUGAUCAGCCACACUGGGACUGAGACACGGCCCAGACUCCUACGGGAGGCAGCAGUGGGGAAUUUUGGACAAUGGGGCAACCCUGAUCCAGCCAUGCCGCGUGCGGGAAGAAGGCCUUCGGGUUGUAAACCGCUUUAACCGGGAAGAAAAGGCAUCUCUUAAUACGGGGUGUUCUUGACGGUACCGGUGGAAUAAGCACCGGCUAACUACGUG